rnacentral:ribozyme from 1 species
CAUCUAUCUAUCCGCAAAUAGAGAGAAAGCGCCGUAUAUAUUAGAGAACAAAAACGUUACAUGCUUUUUUUACUGUUGCAGUGCUUGUUUUGUUUUUCUCCCCUCCUCUGUCUCUGUGUGUGUGUGCUUGUAUAAUAACAAUAAUUGUCCCCAACAUUCCCCCCAAAAUUUGAUACAUUCAAUACAAACAAUACAAUCAUCAUCAAUGAACAUUGUGACACUUCACAAUGCCAUUGUUUAUUAAAAAAAUGAUAGAGUGCGCGAUGCGACGAGCCUUCUUUUUCAUCCUCGUGUGUGUGUGUGUGCAAUUU